GGCCUUUUCUGAUUCUAGGAGGUGCUGCAGCAGGAGCUGACUCGGCCAUUUCCUGGCCUCUUUAGUUGGAAGAUGACAGAAAGGCGGAAGCAGGGACUGCUAUUGUGAGGCCCAUGGCAGCCUUCCUGUAAAACAAAUUGGCAAAUUGUCACCUUCAGAUGGACCACAGCUGGCCCUCUGAACAGCCCUCCUUGGCCUUUCCAGAGUGUACAUGAUUGUGUCCCAUGUCCAGGGAGAGGACAGAGCCACCAGGAGGGUCAAGGUCGUGGAGGGAAACAUGGAUUCUCAGCUCCUCAGGGGAAGAACUGAAUCGUACAUGCCUUAUUUCUGGCUCCACAGCUCCGAGCUCUGAGCUCUGUACCCCGGGAGCACUCGAUGGAUGGUAUUGACUGGCUGACUCAGGCCCCGUCUGCCCACAUGAGCCAUUUUGAGCAGCUUUAACUAAAAUGCGGACAGAAUCAGUGAGAGCCAAAUAAGCAGUCUGGUCGAUUCUCUUCCCUCCCACCCUAUUCCGAAUGCCUCCUGGAAACUGCUGGUCCUCCUCGCCCACGGUUCUCUCCUUCACUAGGGGCCCAGAGUCUGCAAAGCGCCCAUCUCCUCUCCAGUGCCGUUUGCAUCCUCAGAGCAGCGCCGCACCUUGAACUUGUUAGAGGCAUCCUGAUUCACCCAAGGCAGUCUCAGAUUUGGAACUGUCAUUUUUCUAUUCCUGCCAUCUUCACCCGACAAAUAGUACUGAACACCUGCUCUGUGCCAGGUAGAAAGUAUAAAUGCAACCUCUGUUGUCCUGAGAAACAAUAGGAGAGAAAGGUGAUUCUUGAAACUUAAAACAAACAAACAAAAGGAAUCUGUGGUUACUCAAGAAUUUACUUACUUAGUCUACACACUAAACAAAUUAUAGCCUUUAUUGGUAAAAUUAAUUGGACACAAAACAGGUCAGGGCAUGUUCACUAGUUGGAUCUUCCAAAUUCGGAAACCCUACUUUUUAGGAAUCUAUAUUUCAAAGGAAAGAGAAAAUGAAAUGCACAUACACAAAUUUGCUUGUAAAUACGUCAAGCAUCUCUGGUACAAAUUAAUGAUAUCAGUUG
rnacentral:lncRNA from 10 species